CUGAAAACUGCAUCAAGAUGAUGUUUCCAACAACUCUGAUUGUCAUGUUUGGGUUUCUGAUUCAGGAGUCAUUUGCCAACAAUUUUCUGACUCAGACUGACAAAACCAAGUCUGUCAGUCUUGGUGGGACUGUGACCAUCAGUGCCACAGGGAGUUCAGAUAUUGGUGCUGAUCUCAGUUGGUACCUUCAGAAACCUGGACAACCUCCCAAACUUCUUAUAUACAGCACAUCAACUCGCUUCUCAGGAACUCCGUCUCGAUUCAGUGGCAGUAGAUCUGGUUCUCAGUACACUUUAACCAUCAGUAGUGUUCAGGCUGAAGAUGCUGGAGAUUAUUACUGUCUGGGCCUACAUAGUGAUAACACGUUCACACAGCGAUUCAUAGCUGUACAAAAACCUCCUUCACUCUGGCUGAAGGCUGCAGGUGCAGAGUGA